CUUAGUUUAUGUUGGUGUAUAUCUGGUUUAAUAUUAUUGCUUAAUAGCUUAAUUUGUGUACAGUUACUAUUUAAGCCAAGUCUAUGUGCUGCUUAUCUAAGUUUUCAUGCGUUACAGUAAUAAAGUAAAUUUUGUAAAAAUAUUAUGUUUAGGACUUGAAAGUAAUAUAAAAUUAGUUUGUUUAUGUGAAAUUGGUUUAGCUUGGGUACACACCGCCCGUCAA
rnacentral:rRNA from 1 species